CAUGGCAGCAGCGAGUGCCAAGUGGUAAUAACCAGCUGCAUCAAAAGGGUCCUGAAAUAAGAGGCUCAAAGAUAGUACAACCAGUGCAAGAGGACAGCAGAGCUCAGGUUUAAUGUCUAGGAGAAAAGCCAAAGGUGUAAAAAGAUAGCAAGGAGGAUAAAGAGGCGUGGGAGACUGGAGGAGUGGGAAUAAACACAACUGCCACAUGGAGCAGGUUAGUGAUUAGUAUACUUGUCUAGCCAGGCCCUGGGCCUGAUCCAACGUUAAUCCAUCUAAAGUCCAGCAUUAAUUCAAACUGCCUUUUGUCUGUGUAGACUCAGAAUGUACAGUCUGUGUAUUCUCUGUUCUCUCCAUGUGUAUGUGAGCAAGAGACCUGCCAAAGAAAUACAAUUCAGACUAGCUGGUAAGCAGAAGGAAAUCUAGGAAGAUCCAAGGUCUGAAGUGGAGGCUGGAUGAAGGGCCCAGGGUCAGGCCAUAGUUGAACUUAAGGUGUGAGGGAAAUGGGAAACCAUCCACAUAGAACAAGGGCAUGGCUCUGUCCUGAGAGCGUGCUCAGGCAGGUCAGCCAGGGCAGGGAGUAGGACUGAGCUAUUUGAGCUGGUUGUUCCACCAUGCUUGGGGGUGCCCGCAAAGGUUCUGUUCUCCUGUCCUGUCCUGGUCAGCCAGGAGAUUUUGCUUUAGAUCCAAAUCUCCUGGCCAGGAUUUCUUCUAUUAAUCAAAUAUCAGCCCUGAUUCUCUGCUGGCACAGAUUAUCUUUCACAAAAUUACCAAUUUGUGGCAACUGAUAUGGCCAUUGGUCUAAAUUCUCUGAGUGACAACAUGGUUGAAUACCUACAAAUAUAAUAAAGGCAGAUAUGCCAUCAAUUCUUAAUCCUCCCACUGUUUUCCAGGCCAGUCAAUAGGGUAGGGAUUAGGGAUGGAGAAUACAGUCAUAGUCAGUUCUUAAGUUUACAGCUGCAGAUCAACAGGAGCUUGUUGAAGUCGCAGAUUUAGAGCUCAAUUCCCUUAGAAUCUCAUUUCUGAAAGUGCAGCAGAAUCAUAAAUAUAAAAAUUGUUUUUUAGGAAAAUGUUGUACAAUAUGAGUAAUGAUAGUGACAGCUUAGAAACAAAACACCAAAGGGAAAUAAUUCUGCAUUCUCAACUAAAUAUCUCGUUUGGGAAAUCUAUUUCUGGGACUAAGUUUUCUAGUAGGCAAAAAAAAAAAAAUUGCUGCAAUUCAAACUCAGCAGUUGCCAGGUGCCCAAUAAGCAGUAUUUGGCAUUGAUAAACAAUGUGGAGGGGCUGGGAGGUGGUGAAUGUGUGUCACAUCAGUGAAAGUCAUAGAAUUUACAGCUGGCUAGCAAGUCCCAACAAAGACAUUUGCUAUCAGUGAAAACUCACAAUGUCUUACAGAAAACAUACUAAGAAGGGGUUAAAGCAAAAUCUCAGAAAGCAAACAAUGAGAGAAGAAAAUUAGCAUGUGAAGAGACAUUAGAAGCAUAAUUGCUGUCAAAGACACCAAAAAUAUCAGAAGUCUCAUUAAUUUUAUGUAAAAAUUAUCUGUGUAUAAAGUAUUACCACAUUCAUGAGCUUUCUGAAAUUCAGGUUCUUCUAAUUCAUCUGUAAGAAAGAAAAAAAUAUAUAUUAGCUAUAGUAUCUUGGUCAUUUUUCAGUUUCAAAUCUCCCAAAAUAAAGCUGUAUUUAGUAGAUAAUUCUUUAAGUCAUAAGAAUUUGAUAGAUCCUGGAAAUUGAGACAAAAAUAAGUAUUCUGACCCAAAGCUAACAGGGGUUAGCUGACACAAUUCACUGCUUCUGCAUGGCUAUCAUCAAGUAGUUACCUCUGCUCAGUAAGGUGGGGAGCAAAUCACAGUGAGAAUAAAAGCCAACCUGUCCUGCAGGAGGGAGGCAUUUCUGCUGCAUUAAAAUACAAGUGGGCAGCAAAGAAAUGACCAUUCUCCACAACCUGCUCAUAAAAUGAGGUUGCAAAGAGCCCUUAAUAUUUUUAGUGUCACUCCCAGGAUAAUGGGGAGAGAGGUGGGAAAGCAAGUUAUUUAGGGUUGUUGGUGUAGAUAAAUGUCAGACUUUUGUAGCCAUUCCAAUAGAAGGUAGGUGAAAAAAAAUCACUCAUUUUUAAAAAAUUUAGCUUAAUUCUAUAAACUUUGUAACUAUAGAUCUAGCUUUACAUUUAAACACAGCACAUCUGUAGAGCAUUUAAGAAUUACUAUUUUGAGCAGCUGAUAUUUCUCAAGGCAUUUCAGUUGUCAUGCUGCAUUUCAGGAAUAUUUUCACUGUCUUUCAUACACUUGAUGCAGUAGAAGUGGUACUGAGGGUAUGAAGGAUAUAUACAAAAGCAGAGGCUCACAGACCUAAUUAAGCUGGUAGAAAGCUACUUUACUAGUCUUUGAGAAUGACCUCUCACUGACUGUUUACUUCUAGAAGUCCUUUUUAUAAAUGCUUUUCUGACUUUGGUGGAUGAAAGCCACUGAUGUUUACAGUAGUUGUAACUUAAUACUCUAAAUAUUUCAUCAGGGAAGUGCUCAUAAGUAAAUACUUCUCAGUAGAUUGAUGUAGAUGGAAGAAUUGAAAAUCUAUUUAGUCAGAUCACACAACAAAAUAUCAAGUGAAUGUUGAAAAUGCUUGCUCUGGAUAAGUUGCGUUAUGAGAACCAAUUGAGCUAUUUAAGAGAAAGUGGUAAAGAUGGUACUAUGAGCUUGGGAAGAUGCAAAAGAAGGUGAUACUUAGGUUAGGGAGGAGAUGUAGUGAAAAACUUUCAACAGCAAAAUAGCAGUAUGUCCAUUAAGCCCCUGACAUGCUUUAGUACCUUAGAGGUUUGAGUUUUGUUCCCAGGCUUUUCAUUAGGGCACAGGAGGCGAGAUGUGCAGGCAUUUUGCACGUUGCCAGGGCAGGUCUGACACACCCUAGUUAUUGUUCACACUCACACACAUGCUCUGAUUUGCAGAAUUAAACCAAUGUGCCUGACUCCAACCUACACAGCAGCUCCUGUCAACCUGGAGCCUGCAGGCCUGUCUCUCAGGAUGGCACUAAUGGAGAUAACACUUCCUUAGAUAUUGGACAAGCAAAUGCAUCACCAACAGCCUGUGGUGGAAUAAGAAACCACUGCCUCUCCUCAGUUCAGCAAGACUAUUACUGAUGCCUCAGGUUUUAGCUUUUAUAUUUUUCAGAUUCUGGGCCGCUUUAGUGUGUGAGUCUGGCCUUCAUAUUAGGGGACAGUGAGCUCUCUUCACAGAGUGGUUAGACAAAACAAAUUGUUCUCUAGCUGGAGACCAAGGACAACCAAUCCAGAUCUCAGGCCCAAGUGCACAAACACCAGUGGACUGACGAGAGAAAAGCAAAAAGGAUGGGACUUCAUGGGCUAAAGCUGAAAUUAGGCAAUUAAUUUGAAUAUGCUAACAGACCAAAACUUAUAAAAGUGUGAGACCCAUGACUGGUUGUCCAUUUUGGGUUCGCCUGGGGUGUAACCCUGGGCUCUUAUGCUGCCCAAGGUAGAUCUACUGAGACCUCCUAAUAAAUACCUACUUUAUUCUUUAGCUAGCCUCUGUCCUAGGAUGGCCUUCACAAGGCAUCAUUACAUCACCCUGCCUUACAUUAAGUCUAUGAAGGUGAAACCCCAGUUACCCCAAUUGCUUAUGCACAGCACAGAGAAAUAAUGGCUGUAUCAGAGAUUAUGUUACUAAGACUAGAUUUUGCUACUUUUCUAUACCUUCGAAAAUUAAAUCAAGCAUGAAGAGGUGUGUUUGCAUUAGCUGUCAAUAAUUAUUAGGCUGUGCUACCUUUCCCAGGAGGAAAAGCCAGCAGUGUUUGGGUGAACAUACUGCUUUUUAUAAUGCAGCCAUGUGAAAUUAUAAUUUGCAAUUCAGUCAUGUAAAAGCUUGGAGAUCUGUGCAGCACAAUUAGAGAGGUUUUAAAAGCCUGUUGUUUAAAUUCACUCAGGAAAAAAUAGAAACGACGAAAGACUUACAAAUCCUCUUCUGGGAAAAGCCUUGAAACAGCUGAAGAAUAGCAAAGAUGAUAGAAAGGAUUUUUACAUGCCAUAUCAAAGAUCCAAUCAAUUACCAAGAUAUUUCAAAAUAGGUGUAAAUGCUGGGAUGUCAUUGAAAAAAUUUUAUAAUAGGGGUAUAGGAACUACACAUGUACCUUGUGUAAUAAAAAGAAGUAAAAGUCAUACUUACCUAUUCUAUACACAGAGCAAACAUCUGUGAUGGAGGUUUCUUUCAACAAAUGUACUACUUCUUCCAAAUUUUUUUCUUUUGAAAAAAAAGAUUGCUCUUCUUCUUCAAGAAAAUCCAGAUCUUGUGGUCUAGUAAAGAAAAGAGUAACUUUGAAGGUGCCUGAAAGCAGAUUUGGCUUAUGGAGCUCACUGCAUCACAUAUGAACUUGUUAGAAAAACUAAUACAGUCUUUACAUUAUUGGGUGUGCUGUGUUCAAAAUUAGUUUCAGUCAAUGUAUAAAAUAUGCAUGUAAACUGAUAGUAACUAUGCUUACAACUGGCAGUUUCUGCCAUAUCAGAGUAAGCUUUAUGUCAGUGUUAUUGGAUAGCAUUUUCUGAGAGUAUUUAUUUAAAGCAUGAUUCUUGAAGGACUUUAUGGUAUUUAUUUCCUAAUACAAGCUUUAAGUUACAUAUGAAAUGGACCUGCAAGCAGCAUUUAAGAACUCCUUGUUUCAGCAUGCAAACAGUUCAGGCAUAUUAAUAAGAGCAGCCUAUUUACAUGGUGCCAGUGCAUGAUGAAGUACACCCUUUUUAGAGGUUUCACUCUGCAUUAUUAGCAACUUUGCAAAGGCCCCAUUAGAAACAAGUUAAAGGAUAUAACUGA